rnacentral:rRNA from 1 species
CCCUUAGAUGUCCUGGGCCGCACGAGCGCUACACUGAUGCAUUCAACGAGUUUUACCUUGGCCGAGAGGCCUGGGCAAUCUUUUAAACCUGCAUCGUGAUAGGGAUAGAUUAUUGCAAUUAUUAAUCUUGAACGAGGAAUUCCUAGUAAACGCAAAUCAUCAAUUUGCAUUGAUUACGUCCCUGCCCUUUGUACACACCGCCCGUCGCACCUACCGAUUGAAUGGUCCGGUGAAGCCUCGGGAUUGUGGCCAGUUCACUUUAUUGGGAGUUGGCUGUGAGAACUUGUCUAAACCUUAUCAUUUAGAGGAAGGUGAAGUCGUAACA